rnacentral:rRNA from 2 species
CCACACUGGGACUGAGACACGGCCCAGACUCCUACGAGAGGCAGCAGUAGGGAAUCUUCCGCAAUGGACGAAAGUCUGACGGAGCAACGCCGCGUGAGUGAGGAAGGCCUUCGGGUCGUAAAGCUCUGUUGUGAGGGAAGAACAAGUACCGGGGUAACUACCGGUACCUUGACGGUACCUCACCAGAAAGCCACGGCUAACUACGUGCCAGCAGCCGCGGUAAUACGUAGGUGGCAAGCGUUGUCCGGAAUUAUUGGGCGUAAAGCGCGCGCAGGCGGCUUCUUAAGUCUGAUGUGAAAUCUCGGGGCUCAACCCCGAGCGGCCAUUGGAAACUGGGAAGCUUGAGUGCAGAAGAGGAGAGUGGAAUUCCACGUGUAGCGGUGAAAUGCGUAGAUAUGUGGAGGAACACCAGUGGCGAAGGCGACUCUCUGGUCUGUAACUGACGCUGAGGCGCGAAAGCGUGGGGAGCAAACAGGAUUAGAUACCCUGGUAGUCCACGCCGUAAACGAUGAGUGCUAGGUGUUAGGGGUUUCGAUGCCCGUAGUGCCGAAGUAAACACAUAAGC